UACGUAGGCAGCAAGCGUUGUUCGGAAUUACUGGGCGUAAAGAGUGUGUAGGUGGUGUCGUAAGUUUGGUGUGAAAUCUCCCGGCUCAACUGGGAGGGUGCGCCGAAGACUGCGAUGCUUGAGGGUGGGAGAGGUAAGCGGAAUUCCUGGUGUAGCGGUGAAAUGCGUAGAUAUCAGGAGGAACACCUGCGGUGUAGACGGCUUACUGGACCACACCUGACACUGAGACACGAAAGCGUGGGUAGCAAACAGG
rnacentral:rRNA from 1 species